UGAGUUAGAAAUUGUUUUGGGAAAU
rnacentral:piRNA from 1 species